CCCAGAGCUUGUGACCCAACACAGCCCCACCCUCUCUUGUACAAAUACUCCCCUGGGGAGACAGAGCCUUAGCCUUGCUGUCUCUGGCUCUGCACUCUCAGGUGUUGCGUGUGUCACUUCCUGCUCUUGCCCCAUAAAGAUGUAUCCAGGUCACCAGGGUCCUUGCCCUCCUCAUGGUCCACCACCCCCUGGUCCACCACCCCCUGGCCCAGGACACUGUCCUGUGGGACCCCACCCUCCAGGACCUGCUUGCCCACCCCAUGGUCAUGGCCCUGGACACCCUGAUCCUCACCAUCACCACGGCCCUGGGCAUCCUGGUCCUCACCAUCACCAUGGCCCCGGGCACCCUGGUCCUCAUCAUCAUCAUGGUCCACAUCACUGAGAAAUGAGAAGAUGAGAGGACACAAGAUGAGUAGACUACACUGAACCCCCAGCUGAACCAGCUCCCAGACUUAUACAGAAUUUUCCCUUCCAAAUAAACAGCCUCCUGGAGGCCAUGUUUGUGCUCCUCA